UGAACGCUGGCGGUAGGCCUAACACAUGCAAGUCGAACGGCAGCACAGUAAGAGCUUGCUCUUACGGGUGGCGAGUGGCGGACGGGUGAGGAAUACAUCGGAAUCUACUUUUUCGUGGGGGAUAACGUAGGGAAACUUACGCUAAUACCGCAUACGACCUACGGGUGAAAGCAGGGGAUCUUCGGACCUUGCGCGAUUGAAUGAGCCGAUGUCGGAUUAGCUAGUUGGCGGGGUAAAGGCCCACCAAGGCGACGAUCCGUAGCUGGUCUGGGAGGAUGAUCAGCCACACUGGAACUGAGACACGGUCCAGACUCCUACGGGAGGCAGCAGUGGGGAAUAUUGGACAAUGGGCGCAAGCCUGAUCCAGCCAUACCGCGUGGGUGAAGAAGGCCUUCGGGUUGUAAAGCCCUUUUGUUGGGAAAGAAAAGCAGCAGGUUAAUACCCCGCUGUUCUGACGGUACCCAAAGAAUAAGCACCGGCUAACUUCGUG
rnacentral:rRNA from 1 species